rnacentral:rRNA from 1 species
UCGGGAAUUUUGGGCAAUGGGCGAAAGCCUGACCCAGCAACGCCGCGUGAGGGAUGAAGUAUUUCGGUAUGUAAACCUCGAAAGAAUGGGAAGAAUAAAUGACGGUACCAUUUAUAAGCUCCGGCUAACUACGUGCCAGCAGCCGCGGUAAUACGUAGGGACCAAGCGUUGUUCGGAUUUACUGGGCGUAAAGGGCGCGUAGGCGGCAAUUCAAGUCAGCUGUGAAAUCUCUGGGCUUAACCCGGAACGGCCAGCUGAUACUGCUUUGCUAGAGUGCGGAAGGGGCAAUCGGAAUUCUUGGUGUAGCGGUAAAAUGCGUAGAUAACAAGGGAAACACCUGAGGUGAAGACGGGUUGCUGGGCCGACACUGACGCUGAGGCGCGAAAGCCAGGG